GGCCCCGUAGCUCAGCAUGGAUAGAGCGGCGGCCUUCUAUCGAGACGGGAGAGAGCCGUAGGUCGUGGGUUCAAAUCCCACCGGGGCCG
rnacentral:tRNA from 1 species